UACGUAUGGAGCAAGCGUUAUCCGGAUUCAUUGGGCGUAAAGCGCGCGUAGGCGGCCUGUUUGGUCGGGAGUCAAAUCCAGGGGCUCAACCCCUGUCCGCUCCCGAUACCGGCAGGCUUGAGUUUGGUAGGGGAAGGUGGAAUUCCCAGUGUAGCGGUGGAAUGCGCAGAUAUUGGGAAGAACACCGGUGGCGAAGGCGGCCUUCUGGGCCAUAACUGACGCUAAGGCGCGAAAGCUAGGGGAGCAAACA
rnacentral:rRNA from 1 species